CCUACGGGACGCACCAGCGGGGAAUAUUGGACAAUGGGCGCAAGCCUGAUCCAGCCAUGCCGCGUGAGUGAAGAAGGCCUUAGGGUUGUAAAGCUCUUUCACCGGUGAAGAUAAUGACGGUAACCGGAGAAGAAGCCCCGGCUAACUUCGUGCCAGCAGCCGCGGUAAUACGAAGGGGGCUAGCGUUGUUCGGAAUUACUGGGCGUAAAGCGCGCGUAGGCGGAUAGAUAAGUCAGAGGUGAAGUCCCGGGGCUCAACCCCGGAAUUGCCUUUGAUACUGUUUAUCUUGAGUGCGGAAGAGGUGAGUGGAAUUCCGAGUGUAGAGGUGAAAUUCGUAGAUAUUCGGAGGAGCACCAGUGGCGAAGGCGGCUUACUGGUCUGCAACUGACGCUGAGGCGCGAAAGCGUGGGGAGCGAACAGGAUUAGAUACCCCCGUAGUC
rnacentral:rRNA from 1 species